AACGCUAGCUACAGGCUUAACACAUGCAAGUCGAGGGGCAGCAUUGGGGUAGCAAUACUUCAGAUGGCGACCGGCGCACGGGUGAGUAACGCGUAUCCAACCUGCCCACCACUUGGGGAUAACCUUGCGAAAGUAAGACUAAUACCCGAUGAUAUCCCUAGAAGACAUCUGAAAGGGAUUAAAGAUUUAUCGGUGAUGGAUGGGGAUGCGUCUGAUUAGCUUGUUGGCGGGGUAACGGCCCACCAAGGCAACGAUCAGUAGGGGUUCUGAGAGGAAGGUCCCCCACAUUGGAACUGAGACACGGUGCAAACUCCUACGGGAGGCAGCAGUGAGGAAUAUUGGUCAAUGGGCGAGAGCCUGAACCAGCCAAGUAGCGUGCAGGACGACGGCCCUAUGGGUUGUAAACUGCUUUUAUAAGGGAAUAAAGUGAGUCUCGUGAGACUUUUUGCAUGUACCUUAUGAAUAAGGACCGGCUAAUUCCGUGCCAGCAGCCGCGGUAAUACGGAAGGUCCGGGCGUUAUCCGGAUUUAUUGGGUUUAAAGGGAGCGUAGGCCGGAGAUUAAGCGUGUUGUGAAAUGUAGACGCUCAACGUCUGCACUGCAGCGCGAACUGGUUUCCUUGAGUACGCACAAAGUGGGCGGAAUUCGUGGUGUAGCGGUGAAAUGCUUAGAUAUCACGAAGAACUCCGAUUG
rnacentral:rRNA from 1 species